AGUGAACGCUGGCGGUAGGCCUAACACAUGCAAGUCGAACGGCAGCACAGUAAGAGCUUGCUCUUACGGGUGGCGAGUGGCGGACGGGUGAGGAAUACAUCGGAAUCUACUUUUUCGUGGGGGAUAACGUAGGGAAACUUACGCUAAUACCUCAUACUACCUACGGGUGAAAGCAGGGGAUCUUCGGACCUUGCGCGAUUGAAUGAGCCGAUGUCGGAUUAGCUAGUUGGCGGGGUAAAGGCCCACCAAGGCGACGAUCCGUAGCUGGUCUGAGAGGAUGAUCAGCCACACUGGAACUGAGACACGGUCCAGACUCCUACGGGAGGCAGCAGUGGGGAAUAUUGGACAAUGGGCGCAAGCCUGAUCCAGCAAUACCGCGUGGGUGAAGAAGGCCUUCGGGUUGUAAAGCCCUUUUGUUGGGAAAGAAAAGCAGCAGGUUAAUACCCCGCUGUUCUGACGGUACCCAAAGAAUAAGCACCGGCUAACUUCGUG
rnacentral:rRNA from 1 species